AAACCAGUGUUGCGAAGCUAAGUCUGUUGGAUAAUGGCUGAACGCCUCUUAAGCCAGAAACCAUGCUGAUUAAACAAUACUAUUUCGUUCUUUUUUGUUUCCUUUUUUACUGCUAAUGUAAAAGAGAAAUUAUAUAUGUGCCUUUUUUUGGUACAUAAAUAAUCCUAUCACCUUUUUCGUGAGCUGUGAGCUGUGAGCUAGGCAAUAGUUCUUUAACAACAAAAAAGAAUUGCACAAACUGUAGACGACUUUUUUGCCUCAGGGUGCUGUAAACAUGAAAGUAAACUUUGUUUUACGAUCUGUUGAGGCUUAUCCCUAGUGGUAAAGUGUUU
rnacentral:ncRNA from 1 species